UCGAAUGACUAGACCAAUCCUCUCACCAAUGGCUUUAACCAAUUUCUUCUUAUAAAUAUAUCCUAGGAGACACGAAAGGCAUAUCCAAGCAACAACAUUAUGUGGAUACGGUUGUAUUAUUGAAAAAUUUUAUGUCCAUGGUUGUAUUGUCAGCUGUACAAGCCUAAUAAUGCCCGGGCCCAAACCCAAUAAACUAAACCAAAACCCAAUAGCUAAUUCCUAACCCAGGCCCGAAACUAAUGGAAAAGGGAAGGGUUGGGAAGCCCUAGCAACAGCCCUCGCCUCCAGCAGACUCUCCAGGCGCCGCACGUCUCGGGGCCGACCUCUCCACACGCGCCGUUUGCUCCACGAACGCCUGCAAAUGCGGACUCAAUGAGUCCGAAAGAAAAAAACAACAAGAAAUAACAUUAUUUCAUUAUUUUCUUUUUCUUUUUCUUUUUCGGGCUAUAAAAAGCCAUUUCUAAUCUGUAAAAUGGGGGUCGAAAAAUAUAUGCAAAGAUAUAGAGAGAAAAUACAGGAAUUAAACUUGUUUUUGCAUAGGCGAUUUCUUCUUUGUUUUGCUUUGCAGUGUCCAUCGUUUUUUACAUAUAUAUUGUUUUAUUCUCUUUUAUUUUCGUUUUAUUUCAUUUAAAACAAUAAAGAAAAGAAGGGAUCUUACCUCUUUCGUCAAAGUCCCCGGAUGGUUGCCAUCUCCGUCGCAAUCGGAGCGUUGGCACGAACGGCGGCGCAAAAUGGGUUAAAAGAGCCCUAACAGAGCAACUAUUUUUUUUAAAUGUUUGCUGUGGCUGUUGUUUUGAAGGAAAACUAAAGACUUUCUAAUUAGGGUUUUGGGUUGGUUUUUAUAGAGGGAAAAGUGACACCGUUUAAUGGCCUAGUGAUCCUUGCAUUUUGUCUUAAUGGCCUAAUUGUGCAUUGGGUCCUUCAUUCUUUUAUUGCUUUAAAAUCAAGUUUUUUUUUGUUUUUUAAUUCCCCUAGGAUUUAUUUCAUUUUCAAUCGGGUCUAUAAUUGAACGGCGUCGUUUUGGAGGGUAGGGAUUAAUUUCCCUUUUGAUCCCUCCUUAUUAUUCACGUGUUCGAUCAAGUUUGUCCGUUUUUUUACUUAUUUUCGAAUCUACCCCAUUUUUUUGUUUUUAAGUUCAAUUUAGUCCAUCUUUAGCCAUUUUUUUAUUAUUUCUUUUUUUUAUGUUUAUCAUUAUAGCAUUAUUUAUUAUUAUAUUAUUUACUAUCACUGUUAUCAUCAUUACUUCUAUCUUCAUACAUGCAUUAUCUUUUUUAUAAAUAAUACAUAUACGCAUGUUUUUUACUCGCAUAGUUUUUUUUUAUAAUAUAUAUAUAAUGCAUUUUAUGUAGAAUAUGUAUAGCUGCAUACAUUUUAUACACUUUUUUAUUUUCAUUUUAUUUCUUAACUUCUAUAUACAUAUAUAUGCAUUUCAUAAUUUCUUAAUAUAUUUUUUUUUCAUUUUUUAAAUACACAUAUUUUUUACAAAACAUAAAUAUCUUUUAUAUUUUAAUUCCAAAAAUAUUUGUUUACUUUACUUUCGUGGAUAUGUACAUAUACCUACUUUCAUAUAUACGUUUCAUCAUUUAUUUUCAUAUUUUUUUUACAUACAUAUAUAUAUACACAUAUGCAUACUUUUAUAUUUUUUUAUUUUUCACGAUUUUCAAACACAUAUACAUGCAUUUUUAUUGGUUUUUUAAUUGAUAUAUUCUAUUCCAUCUUUCCAUAUGUAUUCUUGUAUAUGUACGUUAAAUAUAUGCGUACACAUAUUUUCAAAUUUACUUGUAUAUUGUACUUGUAUAUAUAUUUGUAAAUACAUAUUCAUAUAUGUUUUAAAUUAAAGUUUUUGUUUCAUAUUAACAUACCUUUUGGGAAAUAUAUUUUGGUUUGUCGAAACAUCAAAAUUAUUUUUUUCUCUUGAUUCAAUCUUUUUUUGAAUAAAAGCAAUAUUCAAAGUUUGGGAUUUUCGAGGAAAUCGAGCCCUAACGUAUUGGGUUCCGAUUUUCUUUGUUAAUCUUAAAUAACCGAGAAUAUUCUUUAUUCAAAAUACAUGAGUAUAAAAAUCACUUUCGGGAACUUAACUUGUUGUGUCCUAACGUAUUGGGUGUGACAUGUUAUUUUCUCUAAAUGAAGAUUUUCAUAUAAAAUAAAGUGAUAUUCAAAGUUCGGGGAUUAUGAAGAAUUGUACCCUAACGUAUUGGGACUCGAUUUCUUUACAUGACUUGAACAAUUAAUUAUCCUUUUUCAAAUUCCAUCGUUUGAGUUGAUUUUUAAAUUUUUUUUAACCUUCGACACUAAGACAUCAAAUAAUCAAUUUGGUGCCGAUUUUGGGCGUUACGAGUGUGCUAACCCUUCCUCGUGCGUAACUGACUCUCGAACUCGUUUUCUCAAAAUUCGUAGACCUAAAUAAUUUUUAAGGUGAGCCGAUCACACCUUAAUAAAGGAUUGGUGGCGACUCUAGUUUUAUUUUUUAAGUCGACAACUAGAUUUUUGUUUUUCAAAAAAACGAUUUCGACAGCUUGGCGACUCCACUGAAGACUUUGAGAGUCGAGCCAUAAACUGAUAGUAUUUGUCUUUGUGUCGAAAAUCAAAAGUUUUUAGAAAAUUUCAUGAGUUCCUUUCGCAUUCAUUGAUUUCUUUUUUUUCAUCUUGGUAUGUUGGUAGCUUUGCAUUUACAUUUUGCAUUGUACCCUUUAAGUGGGAGCGAGAAACUAGUCCUUCAUGAGGUUUUCACCUCCGUGCAGGGUAGUGGACCGUUUCCAGGAUGCAUCCGUACCUAUAUCUUCGUGAGAUUUUCAUCUCCGUGCAGCCAUAGGGAAAUGUAUCCCCUUGAACUGAACUUGAUCCAUAUGAGCCUAUAAUGGGUGAGGAUCGAGGAAUCUGCUGGUUCGGGUACCCUUACUCUAGAAACUAAACAUCAUAUAGUGAGCUUUAGGAACUUGACCUAGGUAGAACUAUCCCAAAACCCUAGUGGAUUCCAGAUUAACUGUUUCUUGCUAUUUCAUGCUUGUAUUGGAUUAUAUCUCUAUAUGUGAUACUGACUUGGGUUUCUUUUGUUUUGAUUGCAUGACAUCAUGAUUGCAUAGCAUUUCAUCCUAAAAGGGCGUUAGUUCAUAUUCGGUUGCUAAAUAGAAAGCUUAUCAUGGAGAAAGGGUUUCUUGAUAAGAUGGAAGAUAAUGCGGCUGUCCAAACUUGGUCUGAGACAACACAGCAAGAGAAAGGUGAUAGUUUGGCCGAGGGAUAUGUGUCAGAGUUGUGGGACUUCACUCGUGUUAGUGCGACUCAGAAUAGCCUACAUAAACUAAAGGAAAUUUGGGAAAGGUGGAAUGAUGAGGUUAAACAGCUCUUCUACUCUAGCUAUGGAGACCUACCUUACUUGCUCGACUUAAAGGUGGAUAAGCACUUAUUUCGUGCCUUAGCCCAAUUUUGGAAUCCUGCUUAUAGUUGCUUUACCUUUGGAAAAGUUGACUUAGUGCCUACGAUGGAGGAAUAUACGGCCUUGCUUCGUUUUUCAAAGAUCCAAGUAGAUAAAGCCUACUCGAGAGCUGCUAAUGUUCCAACCUUUUUGAAGAAAUUGAUGAAUAUUACGGGGAUGAGUGAGCAAUGGGCCGCAGCACGAAUCAAACAAAAGGGAGAUAGUAAAUGCAUUCCUUGGAAGAGCCUGAAGGAUUUAAUUCUAGCACACCCGGAUACGAGGAAGAAGGUUGAUGUCUUUGCCUUGGGUAUUUACGGUUUAGUUACCUUUCCCAAAGCCUUGGGACAUGUUGAUGAAGCAGUCACUGAUCUUUUCGAUCGACUUGGUAAAGGAGUUACACCGGUUCCAGCAAUUUUAGCAGACUCUUUCAGGUCACUGAACGAAUGCUGAAGAGUAGGUGAAGGAAGAUUCGUUGGAUGUGCGCAGCUUCUCUUGGCAUGGUUUCACAGUCACUUCUGGAAGGCUGAUAAAUUUUCCUAUCGAGUUUUUUUCUGAAACUUAUUCGCCUUUGAAAGAAAUAGUGGCGAUACCGAGGCAAGAUGGUGUUUUAGAAGAAAGAUGGAUUGCAAUUCUUCAGAAUCUUCAAGAGGAGAAUAUCGAGUGGAGAGCUCCUUGGAUGCUGCCAGAUGAGAUCUUGUAUAGGUGUGGAGAUUUCGAUAAGGUCCCUCUACUUGGGAUUUGGGGAGCUAUCGGCUAUGCACCGUUACUGGUAUUGAGACAGUAUAGAUCGAGGCAGUUCGUACCUACAACCCAAGGAUUAGCUCAAAGUGAAUUCUCGUAUAAGUAUGAUGGUUACAAGAAGAAGAUUCGAGAAAUGACAAAUGCUUAGAGGCAGACUCGACGAAUGAAGAGAUUGGCAGUAGUUCAUCGACGACUCUUGAAUAUAUCAAGUGGCUAGGUAGGAGGGUCAAUGAUAAUAUACCUGCACCAGGUCAAGGAGACAAUCAAUUAGUAGAAAAGCAUGUACAUGUAGUCCCUUCUGAGCUAGCAAUUAUAAAGCAAGAUUUUCAAAGAAGAAACUCAGAGCUCGAAAGGAAGAUAGAGCAAAUAGAAGAGGACAAGAUGAAUUUAAAGUUGGACAUAGAUGUUCAGAAGCUGGAAACCGAAGGUCUGAGAAAAGAAAAGUGCAAAGUCGAUGAAGAUUUGAAUAACUUGAAGACGGAUUAUAAGAGACUACGUAUGUCGAUGAGAACUGUUGGGUUGGGAAAAACCUCAGAGUAGUGGCGUCAAGAAGUUCAAGAAGCAAAAGGUCAAGGCUGAUAGGUGGGAAAAGAGAUUUCAGGAGGCUCAAAAGCAAAAUAAGUCCUUUGAGAGGAGUUUGUCAGAAAGUCGGAAUGAAAAGGAUGAAUUAAAAGCUAAGGUGGCCGAACUGGAUGAAACUAUUCAUCAAUAUCGAAAUCGCAAUGUUGUGAUGGAGUUGCAAGCAAGUUUGAGCAGGAUCGAGAAGAUGAAGAGAACAGUAGAAGGAUUAGAGAUGGCAUUACAGAACUGUGAAGUCAGGAUUGAACAUCUGGAAGCAAAUGAAGACCAUCAAAGUGAACAGCUUCACUAUCUCCAGGAUCAAAUUGCAAGAAGGGAUCACAUUAUGGGAGAAGCUGUGGUACAGAUUCAAGGGGUAGCUGAGCACCUGCAGACUUUAGCAAUACAAGCUGAUAUACUAAGUGUGAAGUACGAAUCAGAAUCAGAUCAGGGGCAGAAGUUGGCAUCAUUACUUAGGGAGAUUAAAGUUCUAAGUGUUAGGGCAAAGCCCUAUUUAUAGCCAUUUUAUGUAAAGAUCUCUAGUAAAGUUUUUUGAAUGGAAUUGAAUUAUAAUUAAUGCCUUUUUUGCAUUCAUCUCAUGCAUCGCAUCAUAUGUAUUAGCACCGCAUUAUAUGCAUUAAAGAUCUUUAUUUAAUCCUAAUAAGUCAAAAUCACUGCUCAGUUAACCUGGAAACCAACCAACCCAACACCGAUACGGCACUCGAGCAAAGACAAAAGAUAUGGAUCAGAGAUUGGAAAAACUCGAACAGUGUCAGAAGGAGAUGCAAGACCAACUUCAGCUACAGGUGCAGGAGCGGUUAGAUAAGAUGAAACAAGAGAUGUCUGAGAAGAUGCGAGAAUCCCAAGAAGAUAUAGUGGCAAAGUUAACCCAACUGAUAACUAAGGGAAGUGAUAAAGGAAAGGGCCCCAUGGCUAAUGUCGAUGAGGGAAAUGAUGAUGAACCUCUCUAUCCUCUAGGUUUCACCCCUCCACGUAUGCGAGCUCAAGUUGAAUACCCGCGCAAAUCUACUGUCACUAUCAUGCCUCAGCAGUUUCGGGCUGGUAUUUCAAACUUCCAAGCUGGACUGGGUUCUAAUCCUGAAAAUAAUCCUGUUAACUCUGCCAUUCCUGACUUUGAUGAAAUGGUUGAGAAGGAAAGAAUGAAGGAGGAGUUACUAAAACAGUUAGAGGAAAGGUGUAGGUGGCUCGAGGAGAAGUUCAAGGCGAUGAAGGUCACUGAGAGUUAUCGAAGCAUUGACGUAAAAGAGCUGAGUUUAGUGUCAGAUUUAGUACUCCCUCAUAAGUUUAAGAUGCCUGAAUUUGAAAAGUACAAUGGGACUAGCUGCCCAGAAGCUCACAUCACCAUGUUCUGCAGGCGAAUGGCGGGAUAUGUUAACAACGACCAACUCUUGAUACAUUGUUUCCAAGACAGCCUUGCUGGGGCAGCAUCCAAAUGGUACAAUCAGUUAAGUCGUGCCACGAUUGGUUCAUGGAGGGACUUGGCACAAUCGUUCAUGAAACAAUAUAAUCAUGUAACAGACAUGGCUCCUGAUAGAAUCACCCUUCUAAAUAUGGAGAAGAAGCCGAGUGAAAGCUUCAGGCAGUACGCACAGAGAUGGAGGGAGGUCGCGGUCCAAGUUCAGCCACCGCUCUUGGAAAAAGAAAUGACCAUGUUGUUCAUUAACACCCUGAAGGCACCGUUCAUUACACACAUGUUAGGAAGUGCUACAAAAAGCUUUCCUGACAUAGUCAUGAAUGGCGAGAUGAUUGAGAACGCCAUCAGGAGUGGGAAGAUUGAUGAAGGAGAGAGUAAUAGAAGAUCAACUUCGAAGAGGAAGGAAAACGAGGUGAACAACUCGAGCAUGUACAACAAGGGUUACUCGAAGUCAGUAACAGUGAGUUAGCCAGGAAAGGUGGCUGCCAAUCAGCAAAGCUCGUCGAGACAAGAGGUCGGUAUAAGGUGAAAUACUGAGAGGCCCCAAUUCACGCCAAUUCCUAUGUCGUACAGGGAACUAUACCGAAAUUUAUUUGACGCACACGUAGUUUCCCCUUUCUAUCUGAAGCCCUUGCAACCCCCGUAUCCCAAAUGGUACGAUGCGAAUGCACAGUGCGACUAUCAUGCGGGAACAACAAGGCAUUUCAUAGAAAACUGUACGACCUUUAAGAAGUUGGUUAAAAGGCUCAUUGGUAUGGGUGUCGUUAAAUUUAACUACUCGACCAAGGUAGGAAACCCGUUACCAAACCACACUGAUGGUGGGGUAAAUAUGAUGGGCGAAGACAGAAGAAUCAAGGCAGAAAUUACGGAUGUGAAAACUCUUUUGAGAUGGGUUUGAAAGGAAAUGGUGAAAAGGGGACUAAUCGUUUCAGAAGGAAGUUGUGAAAAGAGGGGGAACUACUGUGAGUUCCACCAUAAAGUGGGGCAUGAAAUCCAAGAGUGUACAGAGUUCAGAGCCAUGAUACAAGGUAUGAUGGAUAAUAGGGAGAUGGAAUUCUGUGAAUGAGUUCAAGAGGAGAGUCAUGUAUGCACGUCAGAGUUGGCAUUGGGAGUUCUGAAGGCUAACCAUCCUGUGGUCAUCAUCUCGCGACCUCAGAACAGUGAGGUUGGGGCAGAAAUAACACCAACAGUAAUCAUUCAAAAACUGGCUGUGUUUGCAUAUAAGGAUAACAGGGAGGUUCCUUGGAAUUACGAUUGUAAUGUGCAAUCCCGGGGAAGGAGGAUAUAAUCAGUAAAGAGGAUCAGAAUGAAGGAAGGCACUACGAACAGAUGAAGGCUCGAGUAGAGCCAAUAAGAAAAGAAGCUUCGGUUGGAAAGAAGAAGAAUACGGUCGAACCUAAAUUAUUGGUCAAUGAACCAAUCAAAGAGGAGGAAGCUAGAGAGUUCUUGAAGUUCCUAAAGCAUAGCGAGUACAGCGUUGUGGAACAACUGUACAAACAACCAGCUCGCAUAUCUAUGCUAGCUUUACUCCUGAACUCAGAGGGACAUCGAAAUGCACUACUGAAUGUGCUAAAUGAAACUUAUGUGGCUGACGAUAUCUCUGUUAACAAGUUGGGUCGACUGGUCGGUAAUAUAAGCGCUGAUAACUUCAUAUCCUUUAGCGAUGAUGAAAUACCACCUGGGGGUAUGGGAUCUACUAGAGCUUUACACAUCACUGCAAUGUGUAAAUGGUGCAUAUUACCAGGAGUUCUGGUAGACAACGGAUCGGCACUGAAUGUAUUGCCUCUAUCCACGCUCAACAGGCUACCUGUGGAUAGUUCACAUAUGAAGUCGUGCCAAAAUGUGGUGAGAGCAAUUGAUGGCACCGAGAGGAAAGUCAUGGGAAGAAUUGACAUACCCUUGUUAAUUGGCCCAACUAUCUAUGAGGUGGACUUCUUGGUAAUGGACAUCAACCCUUCUUACAGUUGUCUAUUAGGAAGGCCAUGGAUUCAUUCAGCAGGAGCGGUAUCAUCAUCGUUACAUCAAAAACUGAAGCUGGUGUCAGAAGGUCGGCUAGUGACGAUAAAUGCUGAAGAAGAUAUCAUUGCAUCUGUGACCAACGAUGCGCCUGAUUUGGAAACAAGUGAUGAUGCAAUCGAGUGCUCUUUUCAUUCCUUGGAGUUCGUAAAUGCAACAUUCAUCCUUGAGGAAAACAAGAUCCCGAUGUCGAGAAUAUCAAAGACCACAAAGAUGGGUCUGCAAUUGACAGUUGGAAAGGGAGCUUUGCCGAGAAAAAGAUUGGGGAAAUAUCUUCAGGGCCGAGUUGAGGCUCCAGUGUUGAAAGACAAGCAGGACCAUUUUGGCUUAGGAUACAAGCCAGAUGCUAGGCAGAAGAGGAUAGAGCAAGAGAAGAAGCGAGAGAGAAGAAGGGCUCGUUUGAUAGGUGAUCAAGUCAAAUGGGAGCCUAUGACCUUUCCUCACCUAUCUAAGACUUUUGUAUCGGGAGGAUUUAUCUAUCAAGGAAUGCUAGGAGUCGGAAGUAUUAACACGGAGUUAGAAAGUAUUCAUGCCGUGUAUGAAGAAGCGACGGGAGGAGGAACAUUGCAGGAUAUUCAACUUUACGAACCGAGAAGUGUGCUAAACAACUGGACUGCAGAAGAAAUACCUGUAGUUUUUAGGAUUUCCUCAGAGUAAUGUCCAGAACACCCUUAUUGCUUUUAGCCUAGAAGUGAUAAGGAUUCCUUUGUGAAAUAGGCUCAUGUCUAAAAAAUCGUUAUUUUAAUAAAGUUCAUUCUUGCAGUCAUUUUUGGAGCAAAUCUUUCUUUCUAUAAGAGCAGUUAUUUUGAAUUUCUCUCAAACUACACUUGCAUUUCAUUCAUGACCAUAUUGCACCAAAUAAAUUCCUGAAUCCAUAUUGUUUUUCAUAACAGGUCCUAUGAUAUCAAUGAUACGAAUGUCACUCUUACAAAUUUAGAGUCUCUUUUUGAACGAAACAUGUGUUUAGAAGGAUCGCAUGAUUUUGAAGAUGACGAAGACUGUGGUUUGUCUCCUGACUUGUUGAAGAUGGUAGAAAGGGCCGAGAAACAAAUCCUACCUCACAGGGAAUCAAUAGAAGUUGUGAGCUUGGAGGAAGGAAAAGAGGUGAAUAUCGGAUCUGAUAUUUCUGCAAAGAUAAGAUAAAACCUCAUCAGACUACUCCAGGAAUUCAAUGAUGUCUUUGCAUGGUCAUACCAAGAUAUGCCUGGGUUAAGUACGGACAUUGUAGUCCAUCGCCUUCCUAUAAAAGAAGAUUGCAAGCCAGUGCAGCAAAAGCUCAGAAGGAUGAGACCUGAUAUCGAGUUGAAUAUAAAAGAAGAGGUCCAGAAGCAGUUUGAUGCUGGAUUUCUGCAAGAAGUGAAGUAUUCUGAGUGGGUGGCCAACAUCGUACCAGUUCCAAAGAAAGAUGGGAAUGUACGAAUGUGUGUGGAUUACAGGGAUUUUAACAAGGCCAGUCCAAAAGACAGUUUCCCAUUACCUCACAUCGACACAUUGGUAGUCAAUACAGCGGACUUUUCAUUGUUUUCCUUCAUGGAUGGUUUUUCUGGGUAUAAUCAGAUAAAGAUGCAUCCCGAGGACAGGAGAAAGACUACGUUCAUUACGUUAUGGGGAACGUUUUGUUAUAAAGUGAUACCGUUUGGAUUAAAGAAUGCGAGAGCAACAUACCAAAGAGCCAUGGUAGCCUUAUUCCAUGAUAUGAUGCAUAAGGAGAUCGAGGUUUAUGUUGACGAUAUGAUCGCGAAAUCUAGAACGGAUGAGGAACAUGUGCAGGUCUUGAGAAAGUUAUUCUUAAGAUUGAGAAAGUUCCAGCUCAAGCUUAAUCCAGCGAAGUGCACUUUUGGGGCCAGGUCAGGAAAAUUGCUAGGCUUCAUAGUCAGUGAAAAGGGAAUCGAGAUUGACCCAGACAAAGUCAAGGCAAUAAGAGACUUACCUCCACCUCGCACUCAGAAAGAAGUUUGAGGUUUCCUCGGAAGACUGAAUUACAUCGCUAGGUUCAUUUCACAACUAACUGAGAAAUGUGACCCUAUAUUUUAUCUUUUGAAGAAACAUAAUCCUGGUACUUGGGAUGAAGAAUGCGAAGAAACUUUUAACAAGGUGAAGCAGUAUUUAUCUAAUACUCCAGUGCUAUCACCACCUAGCCCAGAUAGGCCGAUGAUAUUGUAUGUGAUAGUAUUUGAUAAUUCCAUGGGGUGUGUGCUAGGCCAACAUGAUGAAACGGGGAGAAAAGAAAGGGCGAUAUAUUAUCUCAGCAAGAAAUUCACUGACUGUGAAAUGAGAUAUUCGCCCAUUGAGAAGUUGUGUUGUGCCCUGAUUUGGACAACCCAAAGAUUAAGGCAGUACAUGUUAUACCAUACGACUUGGCUAAUCUCAAAGUUAGACCCGUUAAAGUAUAUGAUGGAUUCAACUGCUUUGAAUAGGAGGAUGGUCCGAUGGCAGAUUUUACUGUCUGAAUUUGAUAUCGUCUAUGUGAGUCAAAAAGCUGUAAAAGGGAGCGCAAUAACUGACUUUCUGGCUAGCAGGGCUUUGGAAGAUUACGAACCGUUAAGUUUUGAUUUUCCAAAUGAGGACUUGUUGUAUGUAGCUGCUAUUGAAGAAAAUCCCCAAGAACGUCACAGUUGGAAGCUAAACUUUGAUGGAGCCUCGAACGCUGUGGGCAAUAGAAUUGGGGCAGUCCUGGUGUCCCCGAAUGGUGAUCAUUAUCCUUUCACUUGCAAAUUGGAUUUUGAUUGUACAAACAACAUGGCAGAAUACGAAGCAUGCAUCAUGGGUAUUCGUGCAGCUAUAGAGCGAAGAACCAAAGUGCUAGAGGUCUAUGAAGAUUGAGUACUGGUGAUAUAUCAGCUUAGGGGUGAAUGGGAAACGAGAGAUCCCAAAUUAAUCAGUUAUCGAAAGUUGGUCCUCGAAUUGAUUAAGGAGUUUGAGGACAUCACUUUUUGCUAUCCCCUACGAGAUGAGAACCAGAUGGCUGAUGCACUAGCUACUUUAGCCUCUAUGAUCAAGGUGAACAAACAUGAGGAUAUGAAGCCUAUCCAAAUGAGUAUCUAUGAAAACCCAGCUCAUUGUUACAAUAUUGAAGAAGGAGAAAUCGAUGAUAGUCCUUGGUAUCAAGAUAUACUACGAUAUGUAAAAAAUCGUGAGUAUCUUGGCCAGGCAAUGGAGAAUGAAAAGAGAACUCUGAGAAGACUAGCCAUUGAUUACGUCUUAAAUGGGGAGAUCUUAUACAGGAGGGGAAAAGAUCAGGUACUGUUAAGAUGUGUGGACGCCGUAGAAGCAAAGAAAAUCCUGGAGGAAGUCCAUAAGGGCAUCUGUGGAACGCAUGCCAAUGGUUUCACAAUGGCUAGACAGAUUAUGAGAUUCGGGUAUUACUGUCCACCAUGGAAGGGGAUUGCAUCAAUUACUCCAAAAAGUGCCAUAAAUGUCAAAUCUAUGGUGAUAAAAUGCAUGCACCUCAUUCGCCUCUUCAUGUUAUGACUUCUCCAUGGCCUUUCUCCAUGUGGGGUAUGGAUGUCAUCGGGCCAAUAUCGCCGAAGGCUUCAAAUGGGCAUCGUUUCAUAUUUGUGGUUAUUGACUACUUCACCAAAUGGGUAGAAGCUGCUUCGUAUGCUAGCGUUACAAAGUCAUCAAUCAGUAAGUUCUUGAAAAAGGAGAUCAUAUGUCGAUAUGGAAUGCCUGAAAGAAUCAUAUCCGACAAUGCGCUGAACCUGAACAACAGCUAAAUAGUAGAAGUCUGCAGUCAAUUCAAGAUUAGACAUCACAAUUUAUCGCCGUAUUGCCCAAAAAUGAAUGGUGCAGUGGAAGCGGGUAAUAAAAAUAUAAAAAAGAUUGUGGGGAAGAUGACUGAGACUUACAGGGACUGGCACGAGAAAUUAUCGUUUGCCCUCCUUACUUAUCGAACGUCAAUCAGGACCUCCACCGGGGCAACGCCUUUCUCCUUAGUUUAUGGCAUGGAAGUAGUCUUGCCUAUCGAAGUUGAAAUCCCUUCUCUCCGGGUUUUGACUGAGCUACAAUUGGAUGAAGCAGAAUGGGUUCAAUCUCGAUACGAUCAGUUGAACUUGAUAGAGGGAAAAAGGCUAAAGACUAUUUAGCAUGGUCAGAUGUAACAGAAAAGAAUGAUGCGAGCCUACAACAAGAAGGUCCGACCUAGAGAAUUUCACGAUGGGGACCUGGUGUUGAGAAAAAUUCUUCCUCUACAAAAAGAUUUUAGGGGGAAAUAGAUGCCGAAUUGGGAAGGUCCUUAUGUUGUAAAAAAGGCCUUUUCUGGAGGAGCCCUAAUCUUGGCUGAAAUGGAUGGAAGAAACUUGCCUAAUCCAGUAAAUUCAGAUUCGGUCAAGAGAUACUUUACUUGAAGAAGGGAAGGAACCAAGGUGAAAACCCGCAAAGGGCGCUUUGAUUCCAAAAAAAAUAAAAAAAUAAAAUAAAAUGGAGAGGCUAGGGUGAAAACCCGCAAAGAGCACCUUAAGACCAAAGGGGUUUGAGUUGAAAACCUGACAAGGGCGGCUCAAAGUCUGAUUGAAGCACGUGGUAGUCUUGUUGUACCUAAAUCGGCAGAAAGGAAUAGAUGACAUCUUGGGGCAUCAACAAAAUACUAUGAAUCUCAUAAACACGUGUUAAAUUCAGAAGGGUCCUCAGAAAGUUGUAUAGAGCAAUUCAAGCAAAGAUAUCUGGGGCAGUUGUCCAUAAUUUGUGUUUCUAAAACACUUCAUUCUUUUUCAAUAUAAGUGUUUUAGUCAAUUUCCUUUUUUUUUUGACUUGUUUUCAUUGAUAAUUUAUUGCAAGUUAUGAUCUCAAGUCAAUUUCGUUUUAUCUAUCAUUAUGAUCUUUUCAAAAGCAUGUUGCAUUAGAAUAACGAUUAAUGGACUAAUAAAACUUUCACAAGGAAAGUUUUUCAUAUUACUCUGGAAAUUUCUAAAUAAUACAAGAACCUGAAGCAGGACUAUUGUUUAGACUUCACCGGGUUAAAAGGUCGAAGAUAUAUAGGAGUAAAAAGCCGAAUCAAGAAUUUUUGAGUUUUUUUCGAAGCGUUGUUAUGACAAAGGAAGCCUUAAUGUGUAAUAACGACUUCAAUAUUUAGCGUUAAUGAAUCAUUUUCAUGACAUAGCAUUUAGAUGUCAUUCAUACAUGCCUAGUUAAGAGCAUGUGAUCCAUUCCAAUCAUGAUAUCCUAAUCACUAGGCAUAAUUAGGUUUAUCAUACAGGUCAUGUUCCACAGAGAACAGGUCGGUGGAAUCAUAAAACCUUAUCUCCUUGAGCAGCAGUGGAGCAGGUUGAAAGAUAACAGAUAUUGUCUUCAUGUACUAGCGUGAAGUACAUCAGAGAUACCAGAUCUUGCCUUCCCAUACUGGUGGCGAAGCUGGUUGAAAGAUAACAGAUCUUGUCUUCAUGUACUGGCGUGAAGUAGAUCAGAGAUACCAGAUCUUGCCUUCCCAUACUGGUGGCGAAGCAGGUCAAAGAAAACAGAUCUUGUCUUCAUGUACUGGCGUGAAGUACAUCAGAGAUACCAGAUCUUGCCUUCCCAUACUGGUGGCGAAGCAGGUCAAAGAAAGAAGAUCUUGUCUUCAUGUACUGGCGUGAAGUAGAUCAGAGAUACCAGAUCUUGCCUUCCCAUACUGGUGGCGAAGCAGGUCAAAGAAAGCAGAUUUUGUCUUCAUGUACUGGCGUGAAGUAGAUCAGAGAUACCAGAUCUUGCCUUCCCAUACUGGUGGCGAAGCAGGUCAAAGAAAGCAGAUAUUGUCUUCAAGUACUGGCGUGAAGUAGAUUAGAGAUACCAGAUCUUGCCUUCCCAUACUGGUGGCGAAGCAGGUCAAAUAAAGCAGAUCUUGUCUUCAUGUACUGGCGUGAAGUAGAUCAGAGAUACCAGAUCUUGCCUUCCCAUACUGGUGGCGAAGCAGGUCAAAGAAAGCAGAUCUUAUCUUCAUGUACUAGCGUGAAGUAGAUCAGAGAUACCAGAUCUUGCCUUCCCAUACUGGUGGCGAAGUAGGUCAAAAAAAGCAGACCUUGUCUUCAUGUACUGGCGUGAAGUAGAUCAGAGAUACCAGAUCUUGCCUUCCCAUACUGGUGGCGAAGCAAGUCAAAGAAAACAGAUCUUGUCUUCAUGUACUGGCUUGAAGUAGAUCAGAGAUACCAGAUCUUGCCUUCCCAUACUGGUGGCGAAGCAGGUCAAAGAAAGCAGAUCUUGUCUUCAUGUACUGGCGUGAAGUAGAUCAGAGAUAACAGAUCUUGCCUUCCCAUACUGGUGGCGAAGCAGAUCGAAGAAAACAGAUCUUACCUUCCCAUACUGGUGCCGAAGCAGAUCGAAGAAAACAGAUCUUGUCUUCAUGUACUGGCAUGAAGUAGAUCAAAGAUAAUAGAUCUUGCCUUCCCAUACUGGUGGCGAAACAGAUCGAAGAAAACAGAUCUUGUCUUCAUGUAUUGGCGUGAAGUAGAUCAAAGAUAACAGAUCUUGUCUUUCCAUACUGGUGGUGAAACAGAUCGAAGAAAGCAGAUCUUAUCUUCAUGUACUGGCGUGAAGUAGAUCAAAGGUAACAGAUCUUGUCUUCCCAUACUGGUGGCGAAACAGAUCGAAGAAAGCAGAUCUUGUCUUCAUGUACUGGCGUGAAGUAGAUCAAAGGUAACAUAUCUUGUCUUCCCAUACUGGUGGCGAAGUAGAUCGAAGGAAAAAGCGGAUCUUAUCUUCAUGUACUGUCGUGAAGUAGAUCAAAGAUAACAGACCUUGUCUUCCCAUACUGGUGGCGAAGUAGAUCGAAGAAAGUAGAUCUUGUCUUCAUGUAUUGGCGUGAAGUAGAUCGAAGAAAGCGGAUCUUGUCUUCAUGUAUUGGCGUGAAGUAGAUCGAAGAAAGCGGAUCUUAUCUUCAUGUAUUGGCAUGAAGUAGAUCGAGGAAAGCAGAUCUUGUCUUCAUGUAUUGGUGUGAAGUAGAUCGAAGAAAGCAAAUCUUGUCUUCAUGUAUUGGCGUGAAGUAGAUCGAAGAAAGCAGAUCUUGUCUUCAUGUAUUGGCAUGAAGUAGAUCAAAGAGAGCAGAUCUUGUCUUCCCAUAUUGGUGGCGAAGUAGAUCGAAGAUACAAGUCUUAUCCCCCUGAAGUUGCAGUGGACCAGACAGAAAUAACCGAUCCUAUCUCCUUGGAAUUGCAAUGGAGUAGAUUAAAAUCACAGAUCUCAUCUCUCUGAAAUUGCAGUUGAGCAGAUCGCAUCCGAUUUAUCUUUAAGUCGUAGCAGAACAAGUCGAAGUUAUAAGUCUUAUCUCCCUGAAGAUACAGUGGAGCAGAUUAAAGAUAGCAAAUUUUGUUCUUUCGAGACGCUAUAACAUAUGAAUCUUAUUUCCCCGACAUUGUAAUGGGGUAGAUCGAAGCACCAGUUCCUAUACAUCUGAAGAUACAGUAGGAGGGAAUGUGGUUACUUGAAGAAGAAAAGCACUGAAGAAGGCGAGGCUCAGUAAGACCGGGUACAAUCGGGCUUUUAGUCUUUGCUCUACUCCCGUUACACGACAAUGAGCAAAGAGGGGCAGCUGUACAAGCCCAAUAAUGCCCGGGCCCAAACCCAAUAAACUAAACCAAAACCCAAUAGCUAAUUCCUAACCCAGGCCCGAAACUAAUGGAAAAUGGAAGGGUUGGGAAGCCCUAGCAGCAGCCCCCGCCUCCAGCAGACUCUCCAGGCGCCGCACGUCUCGGGGCCGACCUCUCCACACGCGCCAUUUGCUCCACGAACGCCUGCAAACGCGGACUCAAUGAGUCCGAAAGAAAAAAACAACAAGAAAUAACAUUAUUUCAUUAUUUUCUUUUUCUUUUUCGGGCUAUAAAAAGCCAUUUCUAAUCUGUAAAAUGGGGGUCGAAAAAUAUAUGCAAAGAUAUAGAGAGAAAAUACAAGAAUUAAACUUGUUUUUGCAUAGGUGAUUUCUUCUUUGUUUUGCUUUGCAGUGUCCAUCGUUUUUUACAUAUAUAUAGUUUUAUUCUCUUUUAUUUUCGUUUUAUUUCAUUUAAAAUAAUAAAGAAAAGAAGGGAUCUUACCUCUUUCGUCAAAGUCCCCGGAUGGUUGCCAUCUCCGUCGCAAUCGGAGCGUUGGCACGAACGGCGGCGCAAAAUGGGUUAAAAGAGCCCUAGCAGAGCAACUAUUCUUUUUUUUUAAAUGUUUGCUGUGGCUGUUGUUUUGAAGGAAAAC
rnacentral:lncRNA from 1 species